GACGAACGCUGGCGGCGUGCCUAAUACAUGCAAGUCGAACGCAGUGGGGACGGGUGAGUAACACGUGGGUAACCUCCCAUCAGAGGGGAUAACACUUGGAAACAGGUGCUAAACCGAUACUGAUGGAUGGACCCGCGGGGCAUUAGCUAGUUGUUGAGGUAACGGCUCACCAAGGCCACGAUGCAUAGCCGACCUGAUGGAGGGUUCGGCCCCACUAGAACUUAGACACGGUCCGGACUCCUGCGGGAGGCAGCAGUAGGGAAUCUUCGGAAAUGGACGAAAGUCGGACAGAGCAACGCCGCGUGAGUGAAGAAGGUUUUCGGAUCGUAAUACUCUGUUGUUAGGGAAGCGAUAACUAACCAGAAAGCGACGGCUAACUACGUGCCAGCAGCCGCGGUAAUAC
rnacentral:rRNA from 1 species